CAGCGCCACGAGUGGUAACCACGUUUAUUGGGCCUAAAGCGUCCGUAGCCGGUUUGAUAAAUCUUUUGUGAAAUUGUACAGCUUAACUGUACAGCGUGCAAGAGACACUGUCAAACUUGAGACCGGGAGGAGUCAGAAGUAUUCCAGAGGGAGCGGUAAAAUGUUAUAAUCUCUGGAGGACUACCUGUGGCGAAGGCGUCUGACCAGAACGGAUCUGACGGUGAGGGACGAGAGCUAGGGGAGCGAACCGGAUUAGAUACCCGAGUAGUCC
rnacentral:rRNA from 1 species